AUAAAUUUCGUACUACCACGUAGAAUGAUGAUAGUGGAUGUCAUCCUUGAACUGAUUU
rnacentral:snoRNA from 1 species